CUGUUCACUGAUGAGUGCCGUGCAACACUGGAUGGUCCAGGUGGAUGGAAUAGUGGAUGGUUGGUGGACGGCCACCCUGUUCCAACAAGGCUGCGAUGUCAGCAAGGUGGUGGUGGAGUCAUGUUUUGGGCCGGAAUCAUGGGAAGAGAGCUGGUUGGCCUCUUUAGGGUUCCCGAAGGUGUAAAGAUGACCUCUGCAAAGUAUGUGGAGUUUCUGACUGACCACUUUCUUCCCUGGUACAGAAAGAAGAACUAUGCUUUCCGUAAUAAAAUCAUCUUCAUGCAUGACAAUGCACCAUCUCAUGCUGCAAAGAAUACCUCUGCAUCAAUGGCUGCUAUGGGGAUAAAAGGAGAGAAAGUCAUGGUUUGGCCUCCAUCCUCCCCUGACCUCAAUCCUAUUGAGAACCUUUGGAGAAUC